rnacentral:misc_RNA from 1 species
AUUUUUUUCUUCGUCCAAUAAAAAAAGGAACCAAAAAACUGAAAAUGGGUCAGACCCUUUUAGAUGCUCUUAACGUUCGGGUCGUCGGUUCCGGCGAAAGAGUUUUGGUUUUAGCCCAUGGGGUCGGUACCGACCAAUCCGCUUGGAAUCGAAUUUUACCUUUUUUUCUCCGAGAUUACCGUGUUGUUCUGUACGACCUUGUCUGCGCCGGCAGUGUAAAUCCUGAUUUCUUCGAUUUCCGACGUUAUACGACACUUGACCCUUACGUUGAUGAUCUUCUACAUAUUCUCGAUGCUCUUGCAAUCGAUCGUUGUUCCUAUGUCGGACACUCUGUCUCCGCCAUGAUCGGAAUUCUCGCUUCGAUUCGCCGCCCUGAACUCUUCUCUAAACUCAUCCUCAUCGGAGCUUCGCCCAGAUUCUUGAAUGAUGAAGACUACCAUGGUGGAUUUGAACUCGGAGAAAUAGAGAAAGUGUUUUCAGCAAUGGAGGCAAAUUAUGAAGCAUGGGUCAAUGGUUUUGCCCCGUUAGCCGUCGGAGCCGACGUUCCGGCGGCUGUACGAGAAUUCAGUAGAACAUUGUUCAAUAUGAGACCAGACAUAACAUUGUUUGUGUCAAGGACAGUAUUUAAUAGUGACAUGAGGGGUGUUCUAGGUCUUGUGAAAGUACCAUGUCAUAUUUUUCAGACAGCAAGGGACCACUCUGUACCCGCUUCAGUCGCGACGUAUCUAAAGAACAACCUUGGUGGGAGGAACACCGUGCAUUGGUUGAAUAUUGAGGGACAUUUGCCACAUCUUAGCGCCCCGAAUUUAUUGGCUCAAGAACUAAGGAGGGCUCUUACUCAUAGGUGAUCGAUCCUGUUGAAGCGGGUACAGAGUGGUUGAAUUCAUAAAACUGAAUUAUCAUUUGUUUUGCGUCAACCAAACCAAAAACAAAGAGACAAAAGGACUAUGGAUGGUUUGUUUAAUUUUUGAACCUUUGAUACACUUUGUGGAUUUGUGGAAAAAGUUUGGAUUUUUACCCAAUAGGAUUUUGACAACAUUCAAGAAUAACAAUCCUUGCAAAAAAGAAACUUGAAUACACAAAUUUUGAGUUUAUUAUUUUUGUGAUGAAAAGAGGUUUUUG